rnacentral:rRNA from 2 species
GUGCGAGACCGAUAGCGAACAAGUACCGUGAGGAAAAGAUGAAAAGAACUUUGAAAAGAGAGUUAAAGAGUACCUGAAACUGCUGAAAGGGAAGCGAAUCGUAUCCAGUGUCUAUAAUCUGCGGCAUAUUUCAUUGGCGGCAGUGUGCGUGCUUUUGCGUCGGAAGCGGCUUUUGUUGCUCUGUGCUUUUGCUGAGCGUGCUGUUGCUGGUGCCCUGUGUUGCGGUGGGACGUCAGAGUCAGUUCGUAUGCUGCGGGAAAUGGCCGCCGAGGAGGUAGGUCAGGACUUCGGUCUUGGCUGUUAUAUCUUGGUGGUUUGUUGUCGUGGUUGGGACUGAGGUGCCUACAAUGUGCUUUUGAGUGUGCCGGGUUCUCAUUUGGUGGACUGUUUGGAUAGCUUGCUAUGCUUGUGGUUUUUUCAUCGAGUGAUUGAGUCUGGUGGUAACUUGUUGCUGUUCGGGACUUUG